CCUACGGGAGGCAGCAGUGGGGAAUUUUGGACAAUGGGCGCAAGCCUGAUCCAGCCAUGCCGCGUGCGGGAAGAAGGCCUUCGGGUUGUAAACCGCUUUUGUCAGGGAAGAAAAGGUUCUGGUUAAUACCUGGGACUCAUGACGGUACCUGAAGAAUAAGCACCGGCUAACUACGUGCCAGCAGCCGCGGUAAUACGUAGGGUGCAAGCGUUAAUCGGAAUUACUGGGCGUAAAGCGUGCGCAGGCGGUUAUGCAAGACAGAGGUGAAAUCCCCGGGCUCAACCUGGGAACUGCCUUUGUGACUGCAUAGCUAGAGUGCGGCAGAGGGGGAUGGAAUUCCGCGUGUAGCAGUGAAAUGCGUAGAUAUGCGGAGGAACACCGAUGGCGAAGGCAAUCCCCUGGGCCUGCACUGACGCUCAUGCACGAAAGCGUGGGGAGCAAACAGGAUUAGAUACCCUGGUAGUCCACGCCCUAAACGAUGUCAACUGGUUGUUGGGAGGGUUUCUCUCAGUAACGUAGCUAACGCGNGAGUAGACGCGCGGAGGUACGGCGCGAGUAGUAACGUAAAGUAAGUAGUACGCGUGAGAGUAGCGACGGACGACGACGAGGGAGGAGG
rnacentral:rRNA from 1 species